UACGGAGGAUGCGAGCGUUAUCCGGAUUUAUUGGGUUUAAAGGGUGCGUAGGCGGACUGUCAAGUCAGCGGUAAAAUUGAGAGGCUCAACCUCUUCCCGCCGUUGAAACUGGUGGUCUUGAGUGGAUGAGAAGUACGCGGAAUGCGUGGUGUAGCGGUGAAAUGCAUAGAUAUCACGCAGAACUCCGAUUGCGAAGGCAGUGUACCGGCAUCCAACUGACGCUGAGGCACGAAAGCGUGGGGAUCAAACAGG
rnacentral:rRNA from 1 species